rnacentral:rRNA from 1 species
UACGUAGGGCGCGAGCGUUACUCGGAAUCACUGGGCAUAAAGGGCGUGUAGGUGGAAGCGUAAGUCCGGUGUAAAAUCCCCCGGCUCAACCGGGGAAGGCCAUCGGAUACUGCGUUUCUUGAGUGCGGGAGGGGAGAGUGGAACUCUUGGUGGAGCGGUGAAAUGCGUAGAUAUCAAGAGGAACGCCGGUGGCGAAAGCGACUCUCUGGCCCGUGACUGACACUGAGGCGCGAAAGCUAGGGGAG